rnacentral:rRNA from 1 species
UACGUAGGGACCUAGCGUUGUCCGGAAUCAUUGGGCGUAAAGCGCGCGUAGGCGGCCCGGUAAGUCCGUUGUAAAAGUCGAAGGCUCAACCUUCGAAAGCCGAUGGAUACUGCCGGACUAGAGUACGGAAGAGGCGAGUAGAAUUCCUGGUGUAGCGGUGGAAUGCGCAGAUAUCAGGAGGAAUACCCAUAGCGAAGGCAGCUCGCUGGGACGUUACUGACGCUGAGGCGCGAAAGCGUGGGGAGCGAACAGG